UUGAACGCUGGCGGAAUGCUUUACACAUGCAAGUCGAACGGCAGCACGGGGGCAACCCUGGUGGCGAGUGGCGAACGGGUGAGUAAUACAUCGGAACGUGCCCGGUCGUGGGGGAUAACGUAGCGAAAGUUACGCUAAUACCGCAUACGAUCUGAGGAUGAAAGCGGGGGACCUUCGGGCCUCGCGCGAUCGGAGCGGCCGAUGUCAGAUUAGGUAGUUGGUGGGGUAAAGGCCUACCAAGCCGACGAUCUGUAGCUGGUCUGAGAGGACGACCAGCCACACUGGGACUGAGACACGGCCCAGACUCCUACGGGAGGCAGCAGUGGGGAAUUUUGGACAGUGGGCGCAAGCCUGAUCCAGCCAUUCCGCGUGCAGGACGAAGGCCUUCGGGUUGUAAACUGCUUUUGUAUGGAACGAAAAGGCUCUGGCUAAUACCUGGGGCUCAUGACGGUACCGUAAGAAUAAGCACCGGCUAACUACGC
rnacentral:rRNA from 1 species